rnacentral:rRNA from 1 species
AUACGGAGGAUCCGAGCGUUAUCCGGAUUUAUUGGGUUUAAAGGGUGCGCAGGCGGCCAUUUAAGUCAGCGGUUAAAUCGUGGGGCUCAACCCCAUUCUGCCGUUGAUACUGGGUGGCUUGAUUGCGGUCGAGGUUGGCGGAAUUCGUUGUGUAGCGGUGAAAUGCAUAGAUAUGACGAAGAACACCGAUUGCGUAGGCAGCUGACCAGACCGCAAAUGACGCUCAUGCACGAAAGUGCGGGGAACGAACAGGAUUAGAUACCCUGGUAGUCCACGCAGUAAACGAUGAAUACUUGUUUUCGGCGAUAUAAUGUCGGAGGCAAAGCGAAAGCGAUAAGUAUUCCACCUGGGGAGUACGCCGGCAACGGUGAAACUCAAAGGAAUCGGCGGGG